rnacentral:rRNA from 1 species
GACGAACGCUGGCGGCGUGCUUAACACAUGCAAGUCGAACGGAAAGGCCUCUUUCGGGGGGUACUCGAGUGGCGAACGGGUGAGUAACACGUGAGUAACCUGCCCUUGACUUUGGGAUAACUUCAGGAAACUGGGGCUAAUACCGGAUAGGAGCUCCUGCUGCAUGGUGGGGGUUGGAAAGUUUCGGCGGUUGGGGAUGGACUCGCGGCUUAUCAGCUUGUUGGUGGGGUAGUGGCUUACCAAGGCUUUGACGGGUAGCCGGCCUGAGAGGGUGACCGGCCACAUUGGGACUGAGAUACAGCCCAGACUCCUACGGGAGGCAGCAGUGGGGAAUAUUGCACAAUGGGUGGAAGCCUGAUGCAGCAACGCCGUGUGCGGGAUGACGGCCUUCGGGUUGUAAACCGCUUUCGCUCAUGACGAAGCUUUGUGUGACGGUAGUGGGUAAAGAAGCACCGGCUAACUACGUG